GGCAUAGGAGUCUGGGGCGGAGCCCAAUGAAGUCCACUUUGGGCUCAAUCCAAAUGCCUAAAUUUUUAUUUUUCAGCUAUUAGCCUACAUUUGUAUUAGUAAUGCCCAGCCAAGAAAUGAAGAAGCUAGAAGCAGUGAAAUCCAAUACCAUUAAUGAUUAAACCCAAUACCAUUAGAUCCAUUGCAAUCCAGGAUCACAAUCCAUUCCAAUCAUUCCAAGUGGGUUCAAUUUUCAAUUUAACCCACUCAGCCUCCUCCUCCUAGUUUCAGCUUCACCUUUGCCUCCUCCUCCCAUAGCCGGACCUCUCAUUUUCUCAACCUCUUCCAUUCAAUAUCCUCCAAUCGCGGGAUCCGUUGUGGUUCGCCUGUUUUGCCGUUGUUUGAACUCUAGACGGCAGUAGGCAGAUUCGCCCAUCGACUAUUCUUCGGUAGAACCUGCAUAGUAGAGAAAGAAGGUGAAGCCCCCAAACCUGAAACUUAUACUCGUUUUUCCGUUCUUACUUUUCAUUAUUUUGAUUUGUGUAAAUUGUAAUAAUUUUUGGUUUUUUCUUCCUUUUAACAUAUGAAAAUAGUACUUUGCUCUUCAAUUGAUCGGAACCUAGUGCCUACACAUUGCUGUUCAAAUGCUUUUGCUACCAAACUUUCGGUUCCAGCACCACUGCCUCUCUGAGUUGCUUACUCUGUCAUUGUGAAGUGUGAUUGUACAACUUGCAAUAUUAAUUGAUUCUAGUAUUGUUAGAUGAAUUGCCAUGAAUUGCGA
rnacentral:lncRNA from 1 species